AGUGGGAUUUUUGCUUUUUCUUCAGGAUUGGAUGGCAUGUUGUCCGUAUGAAUGCCUGCUGCAGGGCUGACCCUGGCAAUAUGGCAGCUUUCCCUUCUCAGUUACUACAGUUUCCAUGUCAAAGCAUAAUGUGUAGCAUAUUAGCAAUAACUACAUAUUUAUAGAAAAGGAACACUUUCACUUCACUGAGCCAAUUCAUUUAACUGUCUAAUGACUAUAUACGUGGUUUAAAUCGCAAUAUAUCUAUCAAUGUGUAUAUACCUAUGUAUACACAUUAUGUAUAAGCUUUUCUCUGGGCCAAACUGCUUCAUUCAAUUUUUUCUUUUCUUUUUUUUUUUUUUUUUUUGCCUUAUGAUGAAUUUGUUGGAAGGGCAUUUUCUUCACGAACAAAGGCUUUGAUGCAGACUCCUUUCUAUGUGAAGUGGGGAGCAUCGUUCCCUGAGGAAAAUUGCACAGUAAAAACCAGUCUAGUCGUGACCCACUACAUGUUUAUUGUUUUUAAAUCACUAGGACACAAGUCGCAUUUUACUGACAAUGUUUGUAAUCCGUUGCUUUGUGUAAUGAAGUUUGGUUGACGCCAUCCUUGCACUGCUGAGGUGAAGUCUUGUGGACUACUUAGCUUUUCGCUGAUCUCAGUAAGGACAGUGUGACGACAAAAGCAAAAUGGCUGGACAGACUUCUUGUGUUUUGUAAAUAUGAAAAGAUGACUGUUCUGUGUGUGUGUUCUGUGUGAUGGUGGAGCAUUUCCUUAAAGUGAAGCUUCACCUAAGCAGACAGAAUGAUUCUUUGUUUAGCAAGUUUAGAGUGAUAAGAAAAUGGUAAGAAAUAAUAUAAAUGUUGAAGAAAGCAUCACACAACAGAACUGUAGGAGUCCCAAUUUAAUAAACUGUCUUAAAAAAAAGGUGUCUAGAAUUACCAUGUUUUAUUAUUUAAAAUCAUUGUCUUAAGUUUUUUGUUUAAAAAAUAAAAAUUUGAAUACAAUCAAAACAUUAGCAAUAAUGUAUUUUUGUUUCCUGUCUUUCCUUUUAUUUUCUAUUUUUAUAAAUAAUCUAACCUCUUCCACCAUUCACGUCAGAAUUAUUAGGAGAAUUCUGUGAAGUGUUA
rnacentral:lncRNA from 1 species